UAACUUGUCAAGAUUACGGGUGCUCAACAAACCUUUAAAACUUAAGGACACAAGCCUUAACACCUUUGCUCGGAGAUACAACACUCCAAUCCUUCAACCAAGGAAACACAAGUUCCUUACAACAAGAGAAUCACUAUUAUCUUACAAGUGUACAAAACACUAGACACUCAAACAAAACACUCCUUAAUGAGUAGAUAUGAGUAAAAGAAGUAAGCUCAAGAUCACAACAACUAUGGACAAGACUUUGGCUCUCAAAAGCNNN
rnacentral:lncRNA from 1 species